ACAAUAUGGUGAAGCAAAAUCUGUUUAACUCAGCACACCUUAUUUGGAGAAUCUUGCAUGGACAGACCUUCAGCGGGUCCUUGGGCAGUUUCUUCUCAUCACCUCUCACUGAUAGAGGAAGGCACAUCAUUGCAGGGAAGCAGUAAAGCUUGUCUAGCCACCAUGAGAACACCUGGAUGACUUUGGAUGGACAGGAGCAAACUAGCAGUCCAUGGUAUUCGCAAAAGCCUUCUCCAACAUCACAUUUCAAAAGAGUCAUCGUUCUUUCACUGUCCAGAUUUUGGAGCCAUACAAUGUCACUGGAAACGCCAUAGAGUUGAGAGUUUGUAUUUUUGUCGCAAUAGUUACAUCAGCACAUUUCAUGACUUUUUCCAGGCUCUUCAUGGUUUCUAUAUCCCACGUUUCCCAAUUUUUUCAAUAUUAAAUACUA